rnacentral:rRNA from 1 species
UACGUAGGGGGCGAGCGUUGUCCGGAUUUAUUGGGCGUAAAGGGCGCGUAGGCGGUUUCUUAAGUUUGAAGUGACAGUGGGUGGCUUAACUACCCAAGGCCUUUGAAAACUGGGGAACUUGAGGACCAGAGAGGGACAUAGAAUUCCGGGUGGAGUGGUGAAAUGCGUAGAUAUCCGGAGGAAUACCAAAGGCGAAGGCAGUGUCCUGGAGGGUGACUGACGCUGAGGCGCGAAAGCUAGGGGAG